rfam:Thermosipho melanesiensis BI429, complete genome.
GGGCCGUUAGCUCAACAGGUAGAGCACCUGACUCUUAAUCAGGGGGCUGUGGGUUCGAGUCCCACACGGCCCA